CAGGUGGUCAGGUAGAGAAUACCAAGGCGCUUGAGAGAACUCGGGUGAAGGAACUAGGCAAAAUGGUGCCGUAACUUCGGGAGAAGGCACGCUGACACGUAGGUGAAGUGAUUUACUCAUGGAGCUGAAGUCAGUCGAAGAUACCAGCUGGCUGCAACUGUUUAUUAAAAACACAGCACUGUGCAAACACGAAAGUGGACGUAUACGGUGUGACGCCUGCCCGGUGCCGGAAGGUUAAUUGAUGGGGUCAGCGCAAGCGAAGCUCCUGAUCGAAGCCCCGGUAAACGGCGGCCGUAACUAUAACGGUCCUAAGGUAGCGAAAUUCCUUGUCGGGUAAGUUCCGACCUGCACGAAUGGCGUAAUGAUGGCCAGGCUGUCUCCACCCGAGACUCAGUGAAAUUGAACUCGCUGUGAAGAUGCAGUGUACCCGCGGCAAGACGGAAAGACCCCGUGAACCUUUACUAUAGCUUGACACUGAACAUUGAGCCUUGAUGUGUAGGAUAGGUGGGAGGCUUUGAAGUGUGGACGCCAGUCUGCAUGGAGCCGACCUUGAAAUACCACCCUUUAAUGUUUGAUGUUCUAACGUGGACCCGUAAUCCGGGUUGCGGACAGUGUCUGGUGGGUAGUUUGACUGGGGCGGUCUCCUCCUAAAGAGUAACGGAGGAGCACGAAGGUUGGCUAAUCCUGGUCGGACAUCAGGAGGUUAGUGCAAUGGCAUAAGCCAGCUUGACUGCGAGCGUGACGGCGCGAGCAGGUGCGAAAGCAGGUCAUAGUGAUCCGGUGGUUCUGAAUGGAAGGGCCAUCGCUCAACGGAUAAAAGGUACUCCGGGGAUAACAGGCUGAUACCGCCCAAGAGUUCAUAUCGACGGCGGUGUUUGGCACCUCGAUGUCGGCUCAUCACAUCCUGGGGCUGAAGUAGGUCCCAAGGGUAUGGCUGUUCGCCAUUUAAAGUGGUACGCGAGCUGGGUUUAGAACGUCGUGAGACAGUUCGGUCCCUAUCUGCCGUGGGCGCUGGAGAACUGAGGGGGGCUGCUCCUAGUACGAGAGGACCGGAGUGGACGCAUCACUGGUGUUCGGGUUGUCAUGCCAAUGGCACUGCCCGGUAGCUAAAUGCGGAAGAGAUAAGUGCUGAAAGCAUCUAAGCACGAAACUUGCCCCGAGAUGAGUUCUCCCUGAGACUUAGAGUCUCCUGAAGGAACGUUGAAGACGACGACGUUGAUAGGCCGGGUGUGUAAGCGCAGCGAUGCGUUGAGCUAACCGGUACUAAUGAACCGUGAGGCUUAACC
rnacentral:rRNA from 1 species